AUACGUAUGGGGCUAGCGUUGUUCGGAUUCACUGGGCGUAAAGGGCGUGUAGGCGGCCAUGCAAGUCGGAUGUGAAAUUUUCAGGCUUAACCUGAAAACUGCAUUCGAAACUGCGUAGCUAGAGUACCGGAGAGGGAGACGGAAUUCCUGGUGUAGGGGUGAAAUCUGUAGAUAUCAGGAAGAACACCGGUGGCGAAGGCGGUCUCCUGGCCGGAUACUGACGCUGAGGCGCGAAAGCUAGGGGAGCAAACAGGAUUAGAUACCCUAGUAGUCC
rnacentral:rRNA from 1 species